CAUGCAAGUCGAACGAGCGAGAGAGAGCUUGCUUUCUCAAGCGAGUGGCGAACGGGUGAGUAACGCGUGAGGAACCUGCCUCAAAGAGGGGGACAACAGUUGGAAACGACUGCUAAUACCGCAUAAGCCCACGACCCGGCAUCGGGUAGAGGGAAAAGGAGCAAUCCGCUUUGAGAUGGCCUCGCGUCCGAUUAGCUAGUUGGUGAGGUAAUGGCCCACCAAGGCGACGAUCGGUAGCCGGACUGAGAGGUUGAACGGCCACAUUGGGACUGAGACACGGCCCAGACUCCUACGGGAGGCAGCAGUGGGGAAUAUUGCACAAUGGGGGAAACCCUGAUGCAGCGACGCCGCGUGGAGGAAGAAGGUCUUCGGAUUGUAAACUCCUGUUGUUGAGGAAGAUAAUGACGGUACUCAACAAGGAAGCGACGGCUAACUACGUGCCAGCAGCCGCGGUAAAACGUAGGUCACAAGCGUUGUCCGGAAUUACUGGGUGUAAAGGGAGCGCAGGCGGGAAGACAAGUUGGAAGUGAAAUCCAUGGGCUCAACCCAUGAACUGCUUUCAAAACUGUUUUUCUUGAGUAGUGCAGAGGUAGGCGGAAUUCCCGGUGUAGCGGUGGAAUGCGUAGAUAUCGGGAGGAACACCAGUGGCGAAGGCGGCCUACUGGGCACCAACUGACGCUGAGGCUCGAAAGUGUGGGUAGCAAACAGGAUUAGAUACCCUGGUAGUCCACACUGUAAACGAUGAUUACUAGGUGUUGGAGGAUUGACCCCUUCAGUGCCGCAGUUAACACAAUAAGUAAUCCACCUGGGGAGUAC
rnacentral:rRNA from 1 species